rnacentral:rRNA from 1 species
UUCUCUCUUGAGUGGAUCCUGAGUACGACGGAGCACGUGAAAUUCCGUCGGAAUCUGGGAGGACCAUCUCCUAAGGCUAAAUACUCUCUAGUGACCGAUAGUGAACCAGUACCGUGAGGGAAAGGUGAAAAGUACCCCGGAAGGGGAGUGAAAGAGAACUUGAAACCGUGUGCUUACAAGUAGUCAGAGCCCGUUAAUGGGUGAUGGCGUGCCUUUUGUAGAAUGAACCGGCGAGUUACGAUCUGAUGCAAGGUUAAGCAGCAAAUGUGGAGCCGCAGCGAAAGCGAGUCUGAAUAGGGCGUUGAGUAUUUGGUCGUAGACCCGAAACCAGGUGAUCUACCCUUGGUCAGGUUGAAGUUCAGGUAACACUGAAUGGAGGACCGAACCGACUUACGUUGAAAAGUGAGCGGAUGAACUGAGGGUAGCGGAGAAAUUCCAAUCGAACUUGGAGAUAGCUGGUUCUCUCCGAAAUAGCUUUAGGGCUAGCCUCAAGUGAUGAUUAUUGGAGGUAGAGCACUGUUUGGACGAGGGGCCCCUCUCGGGUUACCGAAUUCAGACAAACUCCGAAUGCCAAUUAAUUUAACUUGGGAGUCAGAACAUGGGUGAUAAGGUCCGUGUUCGAAAGGGAAACAGCCCAGACCACCAGCUAAGGUCCCAAAAUAUAUGUUAAGUGGAAAAGGAUGUGGCGUUGCCCAGACAACUAGGAUGUUGGCUUAGAAGCAGCCAUCAUUUAAAGAGUGCGUAAUAGCUCACUAGUCGAGUGACACUGCGCCGAAAAUGUACCGGGGCUAAACAUAUUACCGAAGCUGUGGAUUGUCCUUUGGACAAUGGUAGGAGAGCGUUCUAAGGGCGUCGAAGCAUGAUCGCAAGGACAUGUGGAGCGCUUAGAAGUGAGAAUGCCGGUGUGAGUAGCGAAAGACGGGUGAGAAUCCCGUCCACCGAUUGACUAAGGUUUCCAGAGGAAGGCUCGUCCGCUCUGGGUUAGUCGGGUCCUAAGCUGAGGCCGACAGGCGUAGGCGAUGGAUAACAGGUUGAUAUUCCUGUACCACCUAGUAUCGUUUUAAUCGAUGGGGGGACGCAGUAGGAUAGGCGAAGCGU